UCAAAAAAUUUUGAAGGCACCAUCUAGGGCCACUCCUGAGGCAACGCCUACAGUGGGUUAUUGAUUCGUCAAAGUGGGCAUGGCCUAUGGGACCCAGGUUUGGAUUCACCACUUACACUAAUGUGAGCAACUUCAAAUUUACAUGUCUUUAAUUUUGAUUAUUGCUUAUGUA